rnacentral:rRNA from 1 species
UACAGAGGGUGCGAGCGUUGUCCGGAAUCACUGGGCGUAAAGGGCGCGUAGGCGGCUGGGUAAGUAGGGGGUGAAAUCUCGCAGCUCAACUGCGAGGCUGCCUCCUAGACUGCCUGGCUCGAGCACGGUAGAGGCUGGUGGAAUUCCCGGUGUAGCGGUGGAAUGCGUAGAGAUCGGGAGGAACAUCGGUGGCGAAGGCGGCCGGCUGGGCCGUUGCUGACGCUGAUGCGCGAAAGCGUGGGGAGCAAACAGGAUUAGAUACCCUGGUAGUCCACGCCGUAAACGAUGGGUACUAGGCGCUGGGGGGAGCGACCCCUUCGGUGCCGUCGCUAACGCAGUAAGUACCCCGCCUGGGGAGUACGGUCGCAAGACUGAA